AGUCGGGUCUGCUCAACAUGACCAAGAUUGCCCAAGGGGGGCGCAAGCUCAGGAAGAACUGGGGCCCGUCUUGGGUGGUGUUAACGGGUAACAGCCUGGUGUUCUACCGAGAGCCACCGCCGACAGCGCCCUCCUCGGGCUGGGUGAGUGUGAGCGAGAGGCGCAGGAGGGGUGCAGGCGCUGCCUACCGCCUCACGCCAAUGUUGGGGGCGGCAGCGGGGAGGGCGGUGCAGAGGAAGGUAAAGAAGUGAGGAAGCCUCCCACCUCCUCACAGCCCACCGGGGAGAGGGAAGCAGUGAAGGAAACAACACCGUGGCCUCAGUUUCCUCCCUCAUUGUCAGGGGCCAGCGGGUAGCCGGCCGGAAAGUAGCGUGGACCUGCGCGGGGCGGCUCUGGCGCACGGCCGCCACCUGUCCAGCCGCCGCAACGUCCUGCACAUCCGCACGGUCCCUGGCCACGAGUUCCUGCUGCAGUCGGACCACGAGACAGAGCUGCGAGCCUGGCACCGCGCGCUGCGGACUGUCAUCGAGCGGCUGGAUCGGGAGAACCCCCUGGAGCUGCGUCUGUCGGGCUCUGGACCCGCAGAGCUGGCGGAGCUGAGCGCCGGGGAGGACGAAGAAGAGGAGUCGGAGCCGGUGUCCAAGCCGUUGCUGCGCCUCAGCAGCCGCCGGAGCUCCAUUCGGGGGCCCGAAGGCACCGAGCAGAACCGCGUGCGCAACAAACUAAAGCGGCUCAUCGCGAAGAGACCGCCCUUACAAAGCCUACAGGAGCGGGGUCUGCUCCGAGAUCAGGUGUUCGGCUGCCAGUUGGAAUCACUCUGCCAGCGGGAAGGAGACACGGUGCCCAGCUUUGUGCGGCUCUGCAUUGCUGCUGUGGAUAAAAGAGGUCUAGAUGUGGAUGGCAUUUAUCGGGUGAGCGGGAACUUGGCAGUGGUCCAGAAGCUUCGCUUUCUGGUGGACAGAGAGCGUGCGGUCACCUCCGAUGGGAGGUAUGUGUUCCCAGAACAGCCAGGACAAGAAGGUCGGCUAGAUUUGGACAGUACUGAGUGGGAAGACAUUCAUGUGGUCACCGGAGCCCUGAAGCUUUUUCUCCGGGAGCUGCCUCAGCCUCUGGUGCCAUCACUGCUGCUGCCCCAUUUCCGUGCUGCCCUUGCACUCUCCGAAUCAGAGCAGUGCCUCUCUCAGAUACAAGAAUUAAUAGGCUCAAUGCCAAAACCCAACCAUGACACUCUACGGUACCUCCUGGAGCAUUUAUGCAGGGUGAUAGCACACUCAGAUAAGAAUCGCAUGACACCCCACAACCUGGGAAUUGUGUUUGGACCAACCCUGUUUCGGCCAGAGCAGGAGACAUCUGACCCAGCAGCCCAUGCUCUCUACCCAGGGCAGCUGGUCCAGCUGAUGCUCACCAACUUCACCAGCCUCUUCCCCUGACGCAGGGAAGGAAGAAGAGAAAACAUAUUUCCAGUCAUCUCUGGUGGUGAGAGGCUGGUGUUCUGUUUUGAGGACAUCCCUUUAAAUCUCCCAAAUGACUGUCUCUAUCUUCAUGAGUGUGACUUGAGGUGUUGGGAUGGGUGAGGGAGCUUCCUUUAAGAGGAAAGUGAGUGGAUUAACCCCUGCUUCUCUUCUUGUUCCCUGUUAUCAUUCCUCCCCAACAUAAUAAUACAUAAAGCGGCAUGUUAUUUUUU
rnacentral:sRNA from 1 species